GAUCGGGUAGCGCAGAGGUCGUCGCGCGCGGGCUCCACACCCGUGAGGACGCUGGUUCGAUUCCAGCCCUGGUCC
rnacentral:tRNA from 1 species